GAUGAACGCUAGCUACAGGCUUAACACAUGCAAGUCGAGCGACGGGCGCGUGGGUGAGUAACACGUAUCCAACCUGCCCUUUACGCGUAGAUAGGGUUUACAGAGAAAGAUUAAUACCCGAUCUAAAGGAUGGGGAUGCGUUGCAUUAGGUUGUUGGGUAGGUCACGGCUGACCAAGCCUUGGAUGGAUAGGGGUUCUGCGAGGAAGGUCCCCCACAUGGGAAAUGAGAACCGGUCCAAACUCGUACGGCACGCAGCAGUGAGGAAGAUUGCUCAAGGGGCGCUAGCCGGAACCAGCCAAGUAGCGUGAAGCAUGAAGGCGUAUGGGUCGUAACCUUCGUGUAUAUAAGAAGAUGUAUUAUAUGAAUAAGGAUCGGCUAACUCCGUGCCAGCCGCCGCGGUAAUAC
rnacentral:rRNA from 1 species